rnacentral:tRNA from 1 species
AAGAAAGUGGCAGAGCGGUUAUGUGGUCGGCUUGAAACCGACCUAUGGGGGUUCGACUCCUCCCUUUCUG